rfam:Triticum aestivum genome assembly, contig: Triticum_aestivum_CS42_TGACv1_scaffold_327852_4BS
AGGUAGCAUCCAAAAGAUAAGAUGCCUACCCGAUACAGUCUUCCUAGAGUAUAAUUGUCAUUUCCUGCUUAUGGUAUUGUAAGCAAGUUCUGUAAGUCUCAAGUGACAAGAAAGCUUC